GGUUAAGUGAAUAAGCGUACACGGUGGAUGCCUAGGCAGUCAGAGGCGAUGAAGGACGUAGUAACUUGCGAUAAGCGUAGAUUAGGCAGUAACAGCCACUUGAGUCUACGAUUUCCGAAUGGGGAAACCCACGUGCAUAAGCACGUAUUAUUAACUGAAUACAUAGGUUAAUAAGGCGAACUCGGGGAACUGAAACAUCUAAGUACCCGAAGGAAGAGAAAUCAACCGAGAUUCCGAAAGUAGCGGCGAGCGAAAUUGGAUUAGCCCUUAAGCUUUAUAUGCGUCAGGUGAAGGCUCUGGAAAGUGCCGCGAUACAGGGUGAUAGCCCCGUAACCGACAACGCAUACUAAGUGAAAUCGAGUAAGGCGGGACACGUGAUAUCCUGUCUGAAUAUGGGGGGACCAUCCUCCAAGGCUAAAUACUCCUGACUGACCGAUAGUGAACCAGUACCGUGAGGGAAAGGCGAAAAGAACCCCUGUGAGGGGAGUGAAAUAGAACCUGAAACCGUGUACGUACAAGCAGUAGGAGCACCUUCGUGGUGUGACUGCGUACCUUUUGUAUAAUGGGUCAGCGACUUAUAUUUAGUAGCAAGGUUAACCGUUUAGGGGAGCCGUAGGGAAACCGAGUCUUAACUGGGCGUCGAGUUGCUAGGUAUAGACCCGAAACCAGGUGAUCUAGCCAUGGGCAGGUUGAAGAUUGAGUAACAUCAA
rnacentral:rRNA from 1 species